CACCUUACUGGAUUCUUCGGAUGAAGGUCUGGUGACUGAGUGGCGGACGGGUGAGUAACGCGUGGGUAACCUGCCCUGUACAGGGGGAUAACAGCUGGAAACGGCUGCUAAUACCGCAUAAGCGCACGAGGAGACAUCUCCUUGUGUGAAAAACUUCGGUGGUACAGGAUGGGCCCGCGUCUGAUUAGCUGGUUGGCAGGGUAACGGCCUACCAAGGCAACGAUCAGUAGCCGGUCUGAGAGGAUGAACGGCCACAUUGGAACUGAGACACGGUCCAAACUCCUACGGGAGGCAGCAGUGGGGAAUAUUGCACAAUGGGGGAAACCCUGAUGCGGCAACGCCGCGUGAGUGAAGAAGUAUUUCGGUAUGUAAAGCUCUAUCAGCAGGGAAGAUAAUGACGGUACCUGACUAAGAAGCUCCGGCUAAAUACGUGCCAGCAGCCGCGGUAAUACGUAUGGAGCAAGCGUUAUCCGGAUUUACUGGGUGUAAAGGGUGCGUAGGUGGCAGUGCAAGUCAGAUGUGAAAGGCCGGGGCUCAACCCCGGAGCUGCAUUUGAAACUGCAUAGCUAGAGUACAGGAGAGGCAGGCGGAAUUCCUAGUGUAGCGGUGAGAUGCGUA
rnacentral:rRNA from 1 species